AACACUUGAAUGUCGUUUGAUCUAUUUAAGCUUACAUCAGAUGAAGUCCUUUAGUUUUUGUAAUCUUCUAUUGUCCAUAGGACUCCCAAGUAGUUUCACUCUUUUGUUGCUGCCGCCUCUCACUCUCCUAGAUUGAGUAGAACUUUUCUCCUUUAUCUUGUAGAACUCCUAAGUCAACUAAACUUCUGAAUGCUGCAAUUUUCUUCUCCUUUG
rnacentral:lncRNA from 1 species